rnacentral:rRNA from 1 species
GUCUAUGGCCAUGCCACCCUGAACAAGCCCGAUGUCUGAUCUCAGAAGCGAAGCAGGGUCAGGCCUGGUUAAUACUUGGAUGGGAGACCACCUAGGAAGACCAGGUGCUGUAGGCA